CCUACGCGUGGCAGCAGUGGGGAAUAUUGGGCAAUGGGCGCAAGCCUGACCCAGCAACGCCGCGUGAAUGAAGAAGGCUUUCGGGUUGUAAACUUCUUUUAGGGGGGAAGAGGAGAAGACGGUACCCCUUGAAUGAGCCACGGCUAACUACGUGCCAGCAGCCGCGGUAAUACGGAGGGUCCGGGCGUUAUCCGGCUUUAUUGGGUGUAAAGGGAGCGUAGGCCGGCUGUUAAGUCAGCUGUGAAAGUCCGCGGCUCAACCGUGGAAUUGCAGUUGAAACUGGAGGCCUUGAGUGCACACAGGGAUGCCGGAAUUCAUGGUGUAGCGGUGAAAUGCUUAGAUAUCAUGAAGAACUCCGAUCGCGAAGGCAAGUGUCCGGGGUGCAACUGACGCUGAGGCUCGAAAGUGCGGGUAUCAAACAGGAUUAGAUACCCCAGUAGUC
rnacentral:rRNA from 1 species